CCCUAUGGGGUGCAGCAGGCGCGAAAACUUUACAAUGCUGGCAACAGCGAUAAGGGAACCUCGAGUGCCAGGUUACAAAUCUGGCUGUCGAGAUGCCUAAAAAGCAUUUCAUAGCAAGGGCCGGGCAAGACCGGUGCCAGCCGCCGCGGUAACACCGGCGGCUCGAGUGGUAACCGUUAUUAUUGGGUCUAAAGGGUCUGUAGCCGGCCGGAUAAGUCUCUUGAGAAAUCUGGCAGCUUAACUGUCAGGCUUUCAGGAGAUACUGUCUGGCUCGAGGCCGGGAGAGGUGAGAGGUACUUCAGGGGUAGGGGUGAAAUCUUGUAAUCCUUGAAGGACCACCAGUGGCGAAGGCGUCUCACCAGAACGGACCUGACGGCAAGGGACGAAAGCUAGGGGCACGAACCGG
rnacentral:rRNA from 1 species